CCUACGGGUGGCAGCAGUGGGGAAUAUUGGACAAUGGGGGCAACCCUGAUCCAGCCAUGCCGCGUGUGUGAAGAAGGCCCUCGGGUUGUAAAGCACUUUCAGUGAGGAAGAACGCCUGGUGGUUAAUACCCAUCAGGAAAGACAUCACUCACAGAAGAAGCACCGGCUAACUCCGUGCCAGCAGCCGCGGUAAUACGGAGGGUGCGAGCGUUAAUCGGAAUUACUGGGCGUAAAGCGCGCGUAGGUGGCUUGAUAAGCCGGUUGUGAAAGCCCCGGGCUCAACCUGGGAACGGCAUCCGGAACUGUCAAGCUAGAGUGCAGGAGAGGAAGGUAGAAUUCCCGGUGUAGCGGUGAAAUGCGUAGAGAUCGGGAGGAAUACCAGUGGCGAAGGCGGCCUUCUGGACUGAAACUGACACUGAGGUGCGAAAGCGUGGGUAGCAAACAGGAUUAGAUACCCCGGUAGUC
rnacentral:rRNA from 1 species